rnacentral:rRNA from 1 species
GACGAACGCUGGCGGCGUGCUUAACACAUGCAAGUCGAACGGAAAGGCCCUGCUUGCAGGGUACUCGAGUGGCGAACGGGUGAGUAACACGUGGGUGAUCUGCCCUGCACUUCGGGAUAAGCUUGGGAAACUGGGUCUAAUACCGGAUAGGAGCCAUCUUUAGUGUGGUGGUUGGAAAGUUUUUUCGGUGUAGGAUGAGCUCGCGGCCUAUCAGCUUGUUGGUGGGGUAAUGGCCUACCAAGGCGGCGACGGGUAGCCGGCCUGAGAGGGUGUACGGCCACAUUGGGACUGAGAUACGGCCCAGACUCCUACGGGAGGCAGCAGUGGGGAAUACUGCACAAUGGGCGCAAGCCUGAUGCAGCGACGCCGCGUGGGGGAUGAAGGCCUUCGGGUUGUAAACUCCUUUCGCUAGGGACGAAGCUUUUUGUGACGGUACCUAGAUAAGAAGCACCGGCUAACUACGUG